UACGUAGGGGGCUAGCGUUGUCCGGAUUUAUUGGGCGUAAAGAGCGUGUAGGCGGCCAGAUAGGUCUGCUGUGAAAACUCGAGGCUCAACCUCGAGAUGUCGGCGGAAACCAUUUGGCUAGAGUCCGGAAGAGGAAAGUGGAAUUCCUGGUGUAGCGGUGAAAUGCUUAGAUAUGACAUAGAACACCAAUUGCGAAGGCAGCUUACUACCCGAAUAUUGACACUGAGGCACGAAAGCGUGGGGAUCAAACAGG
rnacentral:rRNA from 1 species